AAAAGAAAAAGAAAGAAAGUUACAGAGAACAAAACAAGAAAGGAAGAAAGAAAGGAGAAAAGAAAAGAAAAGGAAAAACUAGGGAUUUGAAGCUUUAAACUUUAAAAGCUAACAAGGAACUCGAGGCAUUGGCACACAAAGGAAAGAAGAAGGUUAUCGAGGAAUAAUAGAGUAAAUUCGGGUUAAUAGGAGUCCAGUGUCCCGAUCCAGCAUCCGGACAAUCCCGACUCCAGCAAAAAGAUUUUGGUGAAGUUUUCUUCCCUUAAGUGAAAGUGGCAUGUACAUAGGGAUUUUCAAGGUUAUUUUGGUAUGUUAUAUAAUUUUUGUUGUAAAGAAAGGUAUUUGGUGUUUUGAUGAUUAAAUUAGUGGAAUGGUGGAACUUGUUAUAA